rfam:Cephalotus follicularis DNA, scaffold: scaffold762, isolate: St1.
GUCAGGAUGGCCGAGUGGUCUAAGGCGCCAGACUCAAGUUCUGGUCCUCGAAAGAGGGCGUGGGUUCAAAUCCCACUUCUGACA